rnacentral:rRNA from 1 species
UUAAUGGAGAGUUUGAUCCUGGCUCAGGACGAACGCUGGCGGCGUGCCUAAUACAUGCAAGUCGAGCGGGGUUGUGUAGAAGCUUGCUUCUACACAACCUAGCGGCGGACGGGUGAGUAACACGUAGGCAACCUGCCCACAAGACUGGGAUAACUACCGGAAACGGUAGCUAAUACCCGAUACAUCCUUUACCUGCAUGGGCGAAGGAGGAAAGACGGAGCAAUCUGUUACUUGUGGAUGGGCCUGCGGCGCAUUAGCUAGUUGGUGGGGUAAAGGCCUACCAAGG